rnacentral:rRNA from 1 species
UACGUAGGGGGCUAGCGUUGUCCGGAAUCAUUGGGCGUAAAGAGCGUGUAGGCGGUCCGGUAAGUCCGCUGUGAAAGUCGGGGGCUCAACCCUCGAAUGCCGGCGGAUACUGUCGGGCUAGAGUACGGAAGAGGCGAGUGGAAUUCCUGGUGUAGCGGUGAAAUGCGCAGAUAUCAGGAGGAACACCUAUUGCGAAGGCAGCUCGCUGGGACGUAACUGACGCUGAGACGCGAAAGCGUGGGGAGCAAACAGG